rnacentral:rRNA from 1 species
GGGGAAUAUUGCACAAUGGGGGAAACCCUGAUGCAGCGACGCCGCGUGGAGGAAGAAGGUCUUCGGAUUGUAAACUCCUGUUGUUGAGGAAGAUAAUGACGGUACUCAACAAGGAAGUGACGGCUAACUACGUGCCAGCAGCCGCGGUAAUACGUAGGGGGCGAGCGUUAUCCGGAUUUACUGGGUGUAAAGGGAGCGCAGGCGGGAAGGCAAGUUGGAAGUGAAAUCUAUGGGCUCAACCCAUAAACUGCUUUCAAAACUGUUUUUCUUGAGUAGUGCAGAGGUAGGCGGAAUUCCCGGUGUAGCGGUGGAAUGCGUAGAUAUCGGGAGGAACACCAGUGGCGAAGGCGGCCUACUGGGCACCAACUGACGCUGAGGCUCGAAAGUGUGGGUAGCAAACAGGAUUAGAUACCCUGGUAGUCCACACCGUAAACGAUGAUUACUAGGUGUUGGAGGAUUGACCCCUUCAGUGCCGCAGUUAACACAAUAAGUAAUCCACCUGGGGAGUACGACCGCAAGGUUGAAACUCAAAGGAAUUGACGGGGGCCCGCACAAGCAGUGGAGUAUGUGGUUUAAUUCGACGCAACGCGAAGAACCUUACCAAGUCUUGACAUCCUGCGACGAUGCUGGAAACAGUAUUUUCCUUCGGGACGCAGAGACAGGUGGUGCAUGGUUGUCGUCAGCUCGUGUCGUGAGAUGUUGGGUUAAGUCCCGCAACGAGCGCAACCCUUACUGUCAGUUACUACGCAAGAGGACUCUGGCAGGACUGCCGUUGACAAAACGGAGGAAGGUGGGGAUGACGUCAAAUCAUCAUGCCCUUUAUGACUUGGGCUACACACGUACUACAAUGGCGUUAAACAAAGAGAAGCAAGACCGCGAGGUGGAGCAAAACUCAGAAACAACGUCCCAGUUCGGACUGCAGGCUGCAACUCGCCUGCACGAAGUCGGAAUUGCUAGUAAUCGUGGAUCAGCAUGCCACGGUGAAUACGUUCCCG